GGCUGGGAGGAGACAUCUGCGUGUGUGGUAGGGUUUGAGCAGGAGUUUGGGGGCGUCUAGCUGAGGUUUAUUCUCAAACGAUGGGGCUAGUACCACGUAAAGUGGAAGGGGGAGCCUGUUUUCAUUGGGUCUGAGGCAGGUUAUCAGCUGACAAAUGGAGAAAGAUUUCUUCCUUUUUGGGGGUGAGGGUUUGGAUUAUUAUUUGAAGGCUAGAAGCGUUUUGUAGGUGUGUGCGGAGGGGGAGGGAGUGGAUUAAAUUGCUGAAAAUAAAAGCCAAUAUAAUAUACUGCUUAGGGACUUGGAGUUUAUUUGUGUCAUCAGAAAGCUUCCUUCACCACCACCCUCCCUGGCAUGCCAGGAUGUUACAGGAUCAAUACAAAAUAUUCUCAGCUGUUGCCUGUCAGUCUUUUUCCCUAAGCCAGGCCUGAGAUGUUUGAGAAUCCCAGCUCUUUUUAUAGAGAGAGCUCUCUGUGCUCCUUCUCAGGAGGGCUGAUUGCAGCCAUCAUUGUGAGCACUCACUUUAUGCUCUGCUCCCUGUGCACUUAAUUUCAGGACUUCCUUAAUCACUUACAUCUAAUCAUAGAUUUGUAAUAGCUCUCUAUGUCAGACAGUGAUUGAUCGACCUGUUUCAUGAGUUUCCUGUUGGUUAGGUCUGUGGAUUUACAUUGGAUAUCAUAUGGUAAUUUGUAUUGUAUGUAAACCUAGUUGGUGUUUUAAGGAUCAUAACCAGCCGAUUUUACAAGUUUUUGUCUUUUAAUAGAUAGCUGGUUGAUAAACUAGUAAGAAGGACUCUGAUGGAAAGAACUGAAUAGGGAAAAUUGUAUUUCCACUCUUAAUAUGUAGUGUUGAAUUUUUUAUUCAGAUCAAUAGUGAUGUUUGACUUUGACAAAGACAUUUUAAAAGUCUUAUUGAGAUUUUGAAAGUCUCAUCAGAACACACAUUAAAAUCCUUCAUAGUAAGAGAAAGAUGCUUUUUUAAAAAAAAAGAAGGGAGCCUUUUCUGCUUGUUAGAGUAGUCAGGAAUUUUAUCUAGAUACUAUUCCUGUCUCUGCCAUUGCCUUGCUUUGUGACCUUGGAUAAUUUACUUAACUAUGCUACAGUUCCCUCAUCUGUUGAAGAAUAGAAGAGUUUACAAGAGUGUAAUGAAGUACUUUAGACUCUUUGGAUGAAAGGAUAUGUGUAAAUUCAAAAUUAUUAUCAUAAAAAGCCUGCUUUAUAAUCUGGAAUGAAGAAGUGUCCUUCCAAGGUUUAGAAGGGAGGGAGGGAGGGAGGAAUCAGAUUGAUGCUUUCAGCAUCUCUGGGUAGUGAUAGAAUAGCAAGACUUACAAGGGGAUCACUAUCUCAGGUAAGAUUUGUGUAUUUUCAGGUCAGUAUAUGGAAGGCAUUACUUGUUCUUCUGAAGGGAAAAAAAACAUAUUAGCAUGACAGGAUGAAACCUGAGGGUUGCACUCUGUCCUGGAUUCAGACUCAUUAUUGCAGUAUACCUCAAUCAUGUCAUGAGAUGUGAAUCUAACCCACCAUGCCAACAGAUACAAAGCCAAGCUGCUAAUUGUGUAAAAUAAUGCUUGUAUAAAUGACUUAACUGCAGCGAAGCUAUAAUCAUGUGCUUACAAAAAUCUUUAAUAUUAAAUCAAGUUUGUCAUAUGUUUUACUGUAUUUAGUUCUUUAGAGCUAUGAAAAUGGCAUCAAUAAUAGCUUCUCUUGUCCCUCACUAACUGCACUUCAUUUGCUAGAAUUAUAGAGUUUUUCAUGUGUGUAUUAGAAAUGACAAAAUUUAGUAAGGAAAAUGGUUAUUGUACUUUUCUAAAAAUAGAAAAGAUCAAAAUCUAUUUUUCACAAUAUAAAUCAAUUUAAUUAAAAGGGUAACUGGUUAUGGUGUAUGCUACAAGAGGGAUUUCUUGAUGAUUAGCUCUUGUAAUAUAAUCUGAUUUAACUCUAAACCAGUGGUUCUCAAACAAGGGCUGCUGUUAGUUCAGGGAAUGCCCCUGGGGGGCCGGCUGGUUUGUUUACGUGCCGCAUCUGCAGGUCGGCUGAUCGCGGCUCUCACUGGCCGUGGUUCGCUGCUCCAGGGCAAUGGGGGCUGUGGGAAGCGGCGUGGGCCGAGGGAUGUGCUGGCUGCCCUUCCUGUAGCCCCCAUUGGCCGGGAGUGGCAAACCGCUGCCAGUGAGAGCCGCGAUCGGCCGAACCUGCAGACAUGGCAGGUAAACAAACUGGCCAGGCCUGCCAGGGGCUUUCCCUGAACAAGCAGUGGCCUUAGUUUGAGAACCACGUUAAACUCCAAACCAAUUUUAAAUAUUUUUGAAAUAAACAUUAUCUGACAAGGUUCUAUUAAUCAUUUUUACUUUAUCCAAUGGACAGAGUGCUCUUCUCAUUUUACUCCUCUUAGAGCCUGCAUGGAACAACUUGUAGGAUUAGGGCCUAGGAUAUGAUGAGGCCAAGGCAGAUAAGUUGAACACUAGGUAAAUUAAUCUUCGCAGGAUCCUUCAGAUGAGCAUCU